rnacentral:rRNA from 1 species
UACGGAGGAUCCAAGCGUUAUCCGGAAUUACUGGGCGUAAAGAGUUGCGUAGGUGGCAUAGUAAGUAGAUAGUGAAAUCGUGUGGCUCAACCAUAUAUCCAUUAUCUAAACUGCUAAGCUCGAGGAUGAGAGAGGUUAUUGGAAUUCCCUGUGUAGGAGUGAAAUCCGUAGAUAUAGGGAGGAACACCGAUGGCGUAGGCAGAUAACUGGCUCAUUCCUGACACUAAGGCACGAAAGCGUGGGUAGCAAACGGG